AAAUUGAAGAGUUUGAUCAUGGCUCAGAUUGAACGCUGGCGGCAGGCCUAACACAUGCAAGUCGAGCGGUAGCACAGAGAGCUUGCUCUCGGGUGACGAGCGGCGGACGGGUGAGUAAUGUCUGGGAAACUGCCUGAUGGAGGGGGAUAACUACUGGAAACGGUAGCUAAUACCGCAUAAUGUCGCAAGACCAAAGUGGGGGACCUUCGGGCCUCAUGCCAUCAGAUGUGCCCAGAUGGGAUUAGCUAGUAGGUGGGGUAAUGGCUCACCUAGGCGACGAUCCCUAGCUGGUCUGAGAGGAUGACCAGCCACACUGGAACUGAGACACGGUCCAGACUCCUACGGGAGGCAGCAGUGGGGAAUAUUGCACAAUGGGCGCAAGCCUGAUGCAGCCAUGCCGCGUGUGUGAAGAAGGCCUUCGGGUUGUAAAGCACUUUCAGCGGGGAGGAAGGCGAUAAGGUUAAUAACCUUGGCGAUUGACGUUACCCGCAGAAGAAGCACCGGCUAACUCCGUGCCAGCAGCCGCGGUAAUACGGAGGGUGCAAGCGUUAAUCGGAAUUACUGGGCGUAAAGCGCACGCAGGCGGUCUGUCAAGUCGGAUGUGAAAUCCCCGGGCUCAACCUGGGAACUGCAUUCGAAACUGGCAGGCUAGAGUCUUGUAGAGGGGGGUAGAAUUCCAGGUGUAGCGGUGAAAUGCGUAGAGAUCUGGAGGAAUACCGGUGGCGAAGGCGGCCCCCUGGACAAAGACUGACGCUCAGGUGCGAAAGCGUGGGGAGCAAACAGGAUUAGAUACCCUGGUAGUCCACGCCGUAAACGAUGUCGAUUUGGAGGUUGUGCCCUUGAGGCGUGGCUUCCGGAGCUAACGCGUUAAAUCGACCGCCUGGGGAGUACGGCCGCAAGGUUAAAACUCAAAUGAAUUGACGGGGGCCCGCACAAGCGGUGGAGCAUGUGGUUUAAUUCGAUGCAACGCGAAGAACCUUACCUGGUCUUGACAUCCACAGAACUUUCCAGAGAUGGAUUGGUGCCUUCGGGAACUGUGAGACAGGUGCUGCAUGGCUGUCGUCAGCUCGUGUUGUGAAAUGUUGGGUUAAGUCCCGCAACGAGCGCAACCCUUAUCCUUUGUUGCCAGCGGUCCGGCCGGGAACUCAAAGGAGACUGCCAGUGAUAAACUGGAGGAAGGUGGGGAUGACGUCAAGUCAUCAUGGCCCUUACGACCAGGGCUACACACGUGCUACAAUGGCAUAUACAAAGAGAAGCGACCUCGCGAGAGCAAGCGGACCUCAUAAAGUAUGUCGUAGUCCGGAUUGGAGUCUGCAACUCGACUCCAUGAAGUCGGAAUCGCUAGUAAUCGUAGAUCAGAAUGCUACGGUGAAUACGUUCCCGGGCCUUGUACACACCGCCCGUCACACCAUGGGAGUGGGUUGCAAAAGAAGUAGGUAGCUUAACCUUCGGGAGGGCGCUUACCACUUUGUGAUUCAUGACUGGGGUGAAGUCGUAACAAGGUAACCGUAGGGGAACCUGCGGUUGGAUCACCUCCUUACCUUAAAGAA
rnacentral:rRNA from 1 species